rnacentral:rRNA from 1 species
AUCAACGCUGGCGGCGUGCCUAACACAUGCAAGUCGAACGCGAAAGGGGCUUCGGCCCUGAGUAGAAGUGGCGAACGGGGUGAGUAAACACGUGGGUGACCUACCUUCGAAUGGGGGAUAACGUCCCGAAAGGGACGCUAAUACCGCAUAACAUCCUGUCCUUGAAACGGAUGGAGAUCAAAGCCGGGGAUCGCAAGACCUGGCGUUUGAAGAGGGGCCCGCGUCCGAUUAGCUAGUUGGUGGGGUAACGGCUCACCAAGGCGACGAUCGGUAGCCGGCCUGAGAGGGGCGGGACGGCCCACAACUGGGACUGAGACACGGCCCAGACUCCUACGGGAGGCAGGCAGUGGGGAAUUGUCACAAUGGGCGCAAGCCCUGAUGACGCAACGCCGCGUGGAGGAUGGAAGGUCUUCGGAUUGUAAACUCCUGUUGCCCGGGACGAAAUGCUCUGACCUAACACGUCAGAGUUUGACGGUACCGGGUGAGGAAGCCCCGGCUAACUCUGUGCCAGCAGCCGCGGGUAAUACAGAGGGGGGCAAAGCGUUGUUUCGGAAUUACUGGGCGUAAAAGGGCGCGUAGGCGGCCUUCUAAGUCGAACGUGAAAUCCCCCGGGCUCAACCCGGGAACUGCGUCCGAUACUGGGAAGGCUUGAAUCCGGGAGAGGGAUGCGGAAUUCCAGGUGGUAGCGGUGAAAUGCGUAGAUAUCUGGAGGAACACCGGUUGGCGGAAGGCGGCAUCCUGGGACCGGCAAUUGACGCUGAGGGCGCGAAAGCCAGGGGAGCAAAACGGGAAUUAGAUACCCCGGUUAGUCCCUGGCCCUAAACGAUGAAUGCUUGGGUGUGGCGGGUAUCGAUCCCUGCCGUGGCCGAAGCUAACGCAUUAAGCAUUUCCGCCUGGGGAGUACGGGUCGCAAGGCUGGAAACUCAAAGGAAUUGACGGGGGCCCGCACAAGCGGUGGAGCAUGUGGUUUAAUUCGACGCAACGCGGAAGAAACCUUACCCAGGCUUGAACUGCAGAUGACAUCCUACGAAAGUAGGCCUUCCGCAAGGACGUCUGUAGAGGUGCUGCAUGGCUGUCGUCAGCUCGUUGUCGUGAGAUGUUGGGUUAAGUCCCGCAACGAGCGCAACCCUUGUCUUCUGUUGCCCAUCCAGGUUAAGCUGGGCACUCUGAAGAGACUGCCGGUGACAAAACCGGAGGAAGGUGGGGAUGACGUCAAGUCAGCAUGGCCUUUAUGUCUGGGGCCACACACGUGUUACAAUGGCGUGAACAGAGGGACGCAAUGGCGCGAGCCGGAGCCGACCCCCCUAAAAACACGCCCCCAGUUCAGAUCGCAGGCUGCAAACUCGGCCUGCGUGAAGCCGGAAUCGCUAGUAAUCGCGGGUCAGCAACACCGCGGUGAAUGUGUUCCUGAGCCUUGUACACACCGCCCGUCAAGCCCACGAAAGGGAGGGAACAUCCGAAGUCGCCCUCACCCGGCGCCUAAGGUGGACUUCCCGAUUGGGACUAAGUCGUAAC